UACGAAGGGUGCAAACGUUGCUCGGAAUUAUUGGGCGUAAAGCGCACGUAGGCUGCUUGGCAAGUCGGAUGUGAAAUCCCUCGGCUCAACCAAGGAAGUGCAUCCGAAACUGCCGAGCUUGAGUACUUAAGAGGAUCGCGGAAUUCCCGGUGUAGAGGUGAAUUUCGUAGAUAUCGGGAGGAACACCAGUGGCGAAGGCGGCGAUCUGGGAAGAUACUGACGCUGAGGUGCGAAAGCGUGGGGAGCAAACAGG
rnacentral:rRNA from 1 species